GGCAUCACACUGUUCUUCUUCACUUGUCCAGUUUCCUGUACUUGGUCUAUGAACAAGACGAACUCCAUGUGAGGCCUGCUGACUUAAACAGACAGACCAGAAACUCUACUGCAUAUAAAACAGUGGUCUGGAUUUAUCUCGCAUCACCGGCUUCUAACAAAACGCCAGCGACAGGAAACCUGAGUGAGGACCCAUCUGCCUGCCUCCCUGCUCAGCUCCCCACUCCAAGCCUAUUCUGGAUCUGCUUUGGACACUCCUCACCCGGAACCCCCUGGACACUCCCUCCUCGAUUGACACUUCAAAUCUGCAACGCGUAAGCCCAAACCACCAUAGCCUAAUCCUCCAGCUGUGAUUCAUUGAGACUACCACUGACUACUUUCCUCCUCUCAUCAUAGUGACUUCACACCUCCCUCCAAGCCGCUGCCCCCUUUCUCCAUUCCCCGGAUCCCUCUGUGGAAUCCAGCCCUCAGAGUUUCUCGUUCACAGUUUUGCCUCACAGUUUUCCGCUCAUAGCUUUCACAGUUCAUAGCAUGCAUAGGUUAUAGCAUUCUUAGUUUUCUGUUUUGUAACUUCGCUUAGCUCUGUAAAUAAACUUUGUGCU